rnacentral:rRNA from 1 species
CAGCCGCCGCGGUAAUACGUAGGUGGCAAGCGUUGUCCGGAAUUAUUGGGCGUAAAGGGCUCGCAGGCGGUUUCUUAAGUCUGAUGUGAAAGUCCCCGGCUCAACCGGGGAGGGUCAUUGGAAACUGGGAAACUUGAGUGCAGAAGAGGAGAGUGGAAUUCCACGUGUAGCGGUGAAAUGCGUAGAGAUGUGGAGGAACACCAGUGGCGAAGGCGACUCUCUGGUCUGUAACUGACGCUGAGGAGCGAAAGCGUGGGGAGCGAACAGGAUUAGAUACCCGCGUAGUCCCUGUCUCUUAUAC